UAGGGAAUCUUCGGCAAUGGGGGGAACCCUGACCGAGCAACGCCGCGUGAGUGAAGAAGGUUUUCGGAUCGUAAAGCUCUGUUGUUAAGGAAGAACGAGUGUGAGAAUGGAAAGUUCAUGCUGUGACGGUACUUAACCAGAAAGGGACGGCUAACUACGUGCCAGCAGCCGCGGUAAUACGUAGGUCCCGAGCGUUGUCCGGAUUUAUUGGGCGUAAAGCGAGCGCAGGCGGUUAGAAAAGUCUGAAGUGAAAGCCCACGGCUCAACCGUGGAGGGUCAUUGGAAACUAAUAAACUUGAGUGCAGGAGAGAAAAGUGGAAUUCCUAGUGUAGCGGUGAAAUGCGUAGAGAUUAGGAGGAACACCGGUGGCGAAAGCGGCUUUUUGGCCUGCAACUGACACUGAGGCGCGAAAGCGUGGGGAGCAAACAGG
rnacentral:rRNA from 1 species